rnacentral:rRNA from 1 species
UACAUGGGGUGCAAACGUUGCUCGGAAUUAUUGGGCGUAAAGCGCACGUAGGUGGUCUGUUAUGUCAGAUGUGAAAGCCCUCGGCUUAACUGAGGAAGUGCACCUGAAACUGGCAGGCUUGAGUACGAAAGAGGGUCGCGGAAUUCCCGGUGUAGAGGUGAAAUUCGUAGAUAUCGGGGAGGAACACCGGUGGCGAAGGCGGCCAC